rnacentral:rRNA from 11 species
CCUGACUCCUAAAUACUCUGAAGGCACCAGAUCCUGUCUGAUCUUGGAAGCUAAGCAAGGUCAGCUCUGGUUAGCACUUGGAUGGAAGGCUGCCAAAGAAUGUCAAGUGCUGUUGACU